UGGGGAAUUUUGGACAAUGGGGGAAACCCUGAUCCAGCCAUCCCGCGUGUGCGAUGAAGGCCUUCGGGUUGUAAAGCACUUUUGGCAGGAAAGAAACGUCGCGGGUUAAUACCCCGCGAAACUGACGGUACCUGCAGAAUAAGCACCGGCUAACUACGUGCCAGCAGCCGCGGUAAUACGUAGGGUACAAGCGUUAAUCGGAAUUACUGGGCGUAAAGCGUGCGCAGGCGGUUCGGAAAGAAAGAUGUGAAAUCCCAGAGCUUAACUUUGGAACUGCAUUUUUAACUACCGGGCUAGAGUGUGUCAGAGGGAGGUGGAAUUCCGCGUGUAGCAGUGAAAUGCGUAGAUAUGCGGAGGAACACCGAUGGUGAAGGCAGCCUCCUGGGAUAACACUGACGCUCAUGCACGAAAGCGUGGGGAGCAAACAGGAUUAGAUACCCUGGUAGUCCACGCCCUAAACGAUGUCAACUAGUUGUUGGGGGAUUCAUUUCCUUAGUAACGUAGCUAACGCGUGAAGUUGACCGCCUGGGGAGUACGUCGCAAGAUUAAAACUCAAAUGAAUUGACGGGGUCAUAGCUGUUUCCU
rnacentral:rRNA from 1 species